ensembl:snRNA U4 U4 spliceosomal RNA
AGCUUUGUGCAGUAGCAGUAUUAUAGCCAGUGAAGUUUAUCUGAGGUGAUUAUUGCUAACUGAAAAACCCCUGCCUUCCAGGAACUAUUCUAAUUAAGGAAGA